AGCUGGGUUGCCACUGGAAGAGCCCCUUCCACCUGACAUCCCAGAACUGGACUGAGAGCCCAUAGACUGAAGUGGCCUGCUGGGGACAACAACGUGUCAGGUGAAACCGAGGUGUCCAGACAAAGCUGCUCCCAACAGGUGCUGGUGUUGCUACAGUCGAAACGAGACCAGCAGAGCGAUCAGUCGGAGGGCUCAUUUAAAGCUCCCAGAAACAGCCUCCACCGACUGCUCGUUCACGGACUGAAAUUGACUGAAAUUGAAGAUGAUAAUGAAUGCGUGACAACACAACUCAUCUUUUGUCACUAGUCUCCCUCUCAGUGGAAGGAUGUGUUAUGUGUGGGAGGAUUUCAAUGGACUUGCCCAGUCCUCUUUUUAAAAAUGAAAACACAGCUGUACACUAAA